rnacentral:rRNA from 1 species
UACGUAGGGGGCUAGCGUUGUCCGGAAUCAUUGGGCGUAAAGCGCGUGUAGGCGGUCCGGUAAGUCCGCUGUGAAAGUCGAGGGCUCAACCCUCGAAUGCCGGUGGAUACUGUCGGGCUUGAGUACGGGAGAGGCGAGUGGAAUUCCUGGUGUAGCGGUGAAAUGCGCAGAUAUCAGGAGGAACACCGGUGGCGAAGGCGGAUCUCUGGGCCAUAACUGACGCUGAGGAGCGAAAGCAUGGGGAGCGAACAGG